GAAGAAAUCUCUCCCAACGUGUCU
rnacentral:siRNA from 1 species